UACGGAGGGUCCAAGCGUUAUCCGGAAUCAUUGGGUUUAAAGGGUCCGUAGGCGGUUUUGUAAGUCAGUGGUGAAAGCCCAUCGCUCAACGGUGGAACGGCCAUUGAUACUGCAAGACUUGAAUUAUUAGGAAGUAACUAGAAUAUGUAGUGUAGCGGUGAAAUGCGUAGAUAUCAAGAGGAACACCUGAGGUGAAGACGGGUUGCUGGGCUGACACUGACGCUGAGGCGCGAAAGCUAGGGUAGCAAACGGG
rnacentral:rRNA from 1 species